rnacentral:lncRNA from 1 species
CUCCGAUCCUGCAGACCCACCGGAGCUCCCAGGGUCCUGAGACCCAGACUCCCCGGCACUGCUACGUGGAGUUCGGAAGAGCUGCUGCGAGUGUAGGUCGCAGGCUGCUGGCGGGAGCCGAGGAGGCUGCUGGGAACUGUAGUCCCGUCCUAUCGCCUCCUGCACUCGCCUGACCGCUCCGGGAAAGAGCAGAUAAGACUGCACCCUGCGCACAGAGAAUCACAACUAACAGAUGGCCUCAAGUCUCAGUAGAGACACUGGACUUUGAACAAUGUAGGAACAGUUACGAUCAUGUGGACUUGAAACUGGUCUCUGUGAACUUUGCAUUUGGAGGCCAGAGAUGGAAUGGUAUACUUUACAUCUGAAGACUCCUCCUCGGGCUUCUAUUUUAAAUAGUCCCUUGCUGACAGUGCCAUUUUCUUUCAGAGAGUGUGAAACUUCUAUGAAAUCUGGCUUAAAAAGUGACAAAAUGCCUGACAAAACAGCUUAAAGAAGUCUUGCUCCACCAAGCAACCAAUGGAAAGAGAUGCGGA